AGAGUUUGAUCCUGGCUCAGGACGAACGCUGGCGGCACGCUUAACACAUGCAAGUCGAACGAGAGAAGAGGAGCUUGCUUUUCUGAUCUAGUGGCGGACGGGUGAGUAACACGUGAGCAAUCUGCCUUUCAGAGGGGGAUACCGAUUGGAAACGAUCGUUAAUACCGCAUAACAUAAUUGAACCGCAUGAUUUGAUUAUCAAAGAUUUAUCGCUGAAAGAUGAGCUCGCGUCUGAUUAGCUAGUUGGUAAGGUAACGGCUUACCAAGGCGACGAUCAGUAGCCGGACUGAGAGGUUGAUCGGCCACAUUGGGACUGAGACACGGCCCAGACUCCUACGGGAGGCAGCAGUGGGGAAUAUUGCACAAUGGAAACUCUGAUGCAGCGAUGCCGCGUGAGGGAAGAAGGUUUUAGGAUUGUAAACCUCUGUCUUCAGGGACGAAAAAAGACGGUACCUGAGGAGGAAGCUCCGGCUAACUACGUGCCAGCAGCCGCGGUAAUACGUAGGGAGCGAGCGUUGUCCGGAAUUACUGGGUGUAAAGGGGGCGUAGGCGGGAUCGCAAGUCGGAUGUGAAAACUAUGGGCUUAACCCAUAAACUGCAUUUGAAACUGUGGUUCUUGAGUGAAGUAGAGGUAAGCGGAAUUCCUAGUGUAGCGGUGAAAUGCGUAGAUAUUAGGAGGAACAUCAGUGGCGAAGGCGGCUUACUGGGCUUUAACUGACGCUGAGGCUCGAAAGCGUGGGGAGCAAACAGGAUUAGAUACCCUGGUAGUCCACGCCGUAGACGAUGAUUACUAGGUGUGGGGGGACUGACCCCUUCCGUGCCGCAGCAAACGCAAUAAGUAAUCCACCUGGGGAGUACGACCGCAAGGUUGAAACUCAAAGGAAUUGACGGGGGCCCGCACAAGCAGUGGAGUAUGUGGAUUAAUUCGAAGCAACGCGAAGAACCUUACCAGGUCUUGACAUCGUAUGCAUAGCUCAGAGAUGAGUGAAAUCUCUUCGGAGACAUAUAGACAGGUGGUGCAUGGUUGUCGUCAGCUCGUGUCGUGAGAUGUUGGGUUAAGUCCCGCAACGAGCGCAACCCUUACUGUUAGUUGCUACGCAAGAGCACUCUAGCAGGACUGCCGUUGACAAAACGGAGGAAGGUGGGGAUGACGUCAAAUCAUCAUGCCCCUUAUGACCUGGGCCUCACACGUACUACAAUGGCUGUCAACAGAGGGAAGCAAAGCCGCGAGGUGGAGCGAACCCCUAAAAGCAGUCUUAGUUCGGAUUGUAGGCUGCAACCCGCCUACAUGAAGUCGGAAUUGCUAGUAAUCGCAGAUCAGCAUGCUGCGGUGAAUACGUUCCCGGGCCUUGUACACACCGCCCGUCACG
rnacentral:rRNA from 1 species